rnacentral:rRNA from 1 species
CCCUUAGAUGUUCUGGGCCGCACGCGCGCUACACUGAUGCAUUCAACGAGUUUUGUUUGUUCCUUGGCCGAGAGGCCUGGGCAAUCUUUUGAACUUGCAUCGUGAUAGGGAUAGAUUAUUGCAAUUAUUAAUCUUGAACGAGGAAUUCCUAGUAAACGCAGAUCAUCAAUCUGCAUUGAUUACGUCCCUGCCCUUUGUACACACCGCCCGUCGCUCCUACCGAUUGAAUGCUCAGGUGAGCCAUUCGGACUUUCAUCAUGCUGGUUUCCAGUUUUGAUGAAGGAAAGUCUUGCGAACCUUAUCAUUUAGAGGAAGGAGAAGUCGUAACA